UCCGGCUUAUCACCGGCAGUCCCCCUAGAGUGCCCAACUAAAUGAUGGCAACUAAUGACAAGGGUUGCGCUCGUUGCGGGACUUAACCCAACAUCUCACGACACGAGCUGACGACAGCCAUGCAGCACCUUGCGCUCUGCCUAGGUUUCCCUAGGAAGCCCUAUCUCUAGGGUUGUCAGAGGCAUUCUAGCCCAGGUAAGGUUCUUCGCGUUGCGUCGAAUUGAACCACAUGCUCCACCGCUUGUGCGGGCUCCCGUCAAUUUCUUUGAGUUUUAACCUUGCGGCCGUACUCCCCAGGCGGAUAACUUAAUGCGUUAGCUGCGCCACCGAAAGCCUAAGGCCCCCGACAGCUAGUUAUCAUCGUUUACGGCGUGGACUAC
rnacentral:misc_RNA from 1 species